rnacentral:rRNA from 1 species
UUAACACAUGCAAGUCGAACGAGAAGAGGUGAGAAGCUUGCUUCUUAUUGAUUCGAGUGGCAAACGGGUGAGUAACGCGUAAGCAACCUGCCCUUCAGAUGGGGACAACAGCUGGAAACGGCUGCUAAUACCGAAUACGUCUUUUUGUCGCAUGGCAGAGAGAAGAAAGGGAGGCUCUUCGGAGCUUUCGCUGAAGAGGGGCUUGCGUCUGAUUAGCUAGUUGGAGGGGUAACGGCCCACCAAGGCGACGAUCAGUAGCCGGUCUGAGAGGAUGAACGGCCACAUUGGGACUGAGACACGGCCCAGACUCCUACGGGAGGCAGCAGUGGGGAAUCUUCCGCAAUGGGCGAAAGCCUGACGGAGCAACGCCGCGUGAGUGAAGAAGGUCUUCGGAUCGUAAAGCUCUGUUGUCGGGGACGAAUGUUGAGGCCUAGAAUAUAGGUUUCAAAUGACGGUACCUGACGAGGAAGCCACGGCUAACUACGUG